rnacentral:rRNA from 1 species
UACGUAGGGACCAAGCGUUGUUCGGAUUUACUGGGCGUAGAGGGCGCGUAGGCGGCAUGACAAGUCACUUGUGAAAUCUCCGGGCUUAACUCGGAACGGUCAAGUGAUACUGUCGCGCUAGAGUGCGGAAGGGGCAAUCAGAAUUCUUGGUGUAGCGGUGAAAUGCGUAGAUAUCAAGAGGAAUACCUGAGGUGAAGACGGGUUGCUAGGCCGACACUGACGCUGAAGCGCGAAAGCCAGGGGAGCAAACGGG